AGUGAACGCUGGCGGUAGGCCUAACACAUGCAAGUCGAACGGCAGCACAGUAAGAGCUUGCUCUUACGGGUGGCGAGUGGCGGACGGGUGAGGAAUACAUCGGCAUCUACUUUUUCGUGGGGGAUAACGUAGGGAAACUUACGCUAAUACCGCAUACGACCUACGGGUGAAAGCAGGGGAUCUUCGCACCUUGCGCGAUUGAAUUAGCCGAUGUCGGAUUAGCUAGUUGGCGGGGUAAAGGCCCACCAAGGCGGCGAUCCGUAGCUGGUCUGAGAGGAUGAUCAGCCACACUGGAACUGAGACACGGUCCAGACUCCUACGGGAGGCAGCAGUGGGGAAUAUUGGACAAUGGGCGCAAGCCUGAUCCAGCCAUACCGCGUGAGUGAAGAAGGCCUUCGGGUUGUAAAGCCCUUUUGUUGGGAAAGAAAAGCAGCAUGUUAAUACCCCGCUGUUCUGACGGUACCCAAAGAAUAAGCACCGGCUAACUUCGUG
rnacentral:rRNA from 1 species